AUAUUAAAUUAAAAUUGUUUUAAUUAAUUGUUUGAACGAGAGAAAGAAUUUUUUAAUUAUGAAUUUCUCGCAAACACGUGGCCAUUAAAUAAGAAAAAAUUAUUUUGCCAUUGAUUAACACAUACACAUGUUUUGAAACACAUAUGUUGCAGCAUUGUUCAAUUUUUGAUACAAGGUUUAGUCGAGUUUUAUACAAGUUUUGUAACGUGUAUAUGUGUGAUUACUUAUUUCUUUCUGAUAUAUUUAAGAUAUUACUCAACAAGAAUGUAACUCUAUCAUUAAGCAACGCGUUUUAUUCAAUAUGCUUGCUUCAAAAGAAAGUAUUUCCUGGAAAAAGUGAUUCUAAAAAAUCAUGUUGAGCGUAUGAUAUAGAUGUAUACACGGUUGACCAAUUUAUUAUCUGCGAGUUAACGACAUGUGACUGAUGUGGACACAUUAGAUUAACGAUACUGCACAUUCAUAAGCAAAUUUGUUAACUUGUGUUGCAUGCAAGAAACUGCGACAAGGAACUUGAGUCGCAAUUUUAUUUAUCAUUGAACGGUGCGAUAUGCAAUAUGCAGUAUUUUUUAUGCAGUUUUUUUUUUCCUUGAGCUACGUAAUAAGCCAACGAGCGUUCUUUCUCUCCGUCACGCCGACGUUCGCGCUUACGCAAGCGUUUCGUAUGUAAUUGCGUUUCGUAUGUAAUCUUUACAUCAAAAUAUCUUUCUCACUCUCUCUGAUUUGACAUAUAACAUUCUUCUUUAUUCUCGUCGAAUAUCUAAGAUUUCGCUGUUCGUAGUACAACCCACACGUAUGAUAUGAUAAGAUCCAACAAAGAAGCACAAGCUUCAUUUUGUACACUCGCAAAGAUUAAUUCUCUCUCUUUUUUUCUCACUUUUUUUUCUCUCUCUCUCUCUCUCUCUGUCAGCACACAUUUUUAUAAUAAAUGAUAAAGACAACACGCGAUUGCGUCAUUUGUGUCAUUUGUCAUUUGUGAAUCAUACUCACUUAUGCGAUACGCAGAUUAUCAAUUAUUUUAAGUACAAAUACCUCUUCGUUGUUCUUAGGCCCGAUUUCUCCACAUCUCCCGAUAACUAUCUGGAUAAAGAUACACAAAAAAAGAUAUACUUUAUCUAUUAAAGUUAUUGAGAACUUAUCAGAGGUGAAGAAAUUUGGCUUUAAAUAAUGAGUGUAGAUGCGUUUCUCAUAUAGAGACAACGAAGAAAAGAUAUUAUAUAUACAUAUAUUUUACAAAUUCUUAAUCAUAUUUAUUCCACUACAUUACUCUGCAUCACGUUACAUUAGAUUUCUGUUUGUCGAUGACAAAUAUGUAUGUACAAAAAAAGGUCAUAUAAUCUAGUAAUAAUUAAAUAUAUACUCUAGCUUAGGAACAUAUGUAUAAUUUAUCGCACGCGUUUUCUGUAUUAUUAUUACAUUUGUAAAAAUUAUAACGUCGAAAAAAUGCACUAAAUAAUUAUAGACUAGAACCACGUGCGUGUAUUAAUAAUUUUGUUAACUCUAAUACAAAGCAAUGAUAUUAACAUGAUAUUAUUAAUGUAAUUCACUGCGCUGAGAUAGAAAAAAAUGUUGACCAUAGCGAACAAAAUAAAUCGUCACGCGAAGCAAAGAAUCUCACAUCUUAAAGGAUGUUUAAAAGAACGUUCUUGCGCAAUGUGACAAAACAAUUAUGUUCUGUUUCGCUUGAAAACGCUAAUACCUGCUUGCUUUGUAAUAGAUAUAUCAAUGAAAAAUGUAUUCUACGCAGCAGACGGGAACGUGGCGAUUGGUUCGUACCCAAUUCUUGCGGCGUUAUUGCGCCGUAGCUCUAAUCGGGUCGCAUAUAAUAAUCACGUGGCCGCGUACACAUAUACACUACGUACGUAUCGAAGCACGCAUAUGUAGCCGACAUGUUUGAAAUGUGUAGACCGUGACUCUAAAGAGACUCCAAUGACGUCAUAGAAUCUAUCCUAUCCAACAGAUAAAGAUUAUGCGAACAUAGAAAAAAUUUUGUUGCGCGCGUUAUGUAUAAGAGAAUCAUUAUCAGUAUUUUUGUUGUCAUUAUAGAUAACAUUCUGUGCGUCGUUUAUAGUUUUCAUCUAAUCAAAUUCGAGAACAUACUUCCGAUGUUCUUUUAAGUAUCUCUUCUAGGAAUUUAAGUAAUGAGUCGUAAAAAAAACUCCAAGAAAAAAUUUAAAAAAGCAAUUUCGCGUUGUUUGUGUUCUUAAACUGUUUGCUUUAUCCGUUUUCGGAUAUUCAAUCGCCGCUCGCUUUGUAUUUGCGCGCAAUUGUAAUAUGCGGCUUGUUGCCAGUGUUGCUCAACCGCGAACGCGCGUUUUGAUUCCGACGCGAAGAUAUGUAUAUCCGUGUGUGCGCGCACCGAGUUAUUCAUAUAUGAAAACUUACGCAACGCAACAUACUUGGAAAGCAAACUCGUAUCACGUAUUCGAUGUAUUUUGGCACCUUCCGCGAAAAGAUUGUCCAUAACGUAUUGACGCGACUGCGCCGUAUUCCAAUCAACAAGGUGGAGCGUAAUCACGUAUCGUUCAAGGUCUUUCGAAAUAGACGCCGCAAAGACGUCCAAAGAAGGGUGGAGUCAAGCGAAUGUCACCCAACACGAUUGAUCUACAUAUAUGUACAUUGUGCUUUUGAGCUACACGCCUCUGUGUCUCCUCAUCGAAGAUCGAUUGGAAUCAACAAUUUUCGCACUCCUCGCUGCCGUUGAUUCAUUCCGCUAUGCGGGAGAUCAAGACCAGUCACCGUUGAUCGUGACGUAGUCACACAGACGAUCGAUCGGGGAACAUUCACCGCGCGUCUGUAUUUUAUUUCGCUGUGUACAUAUGACGCGAACAGCUGAGAAGUAAUUUCAGGAGAGGCGCGACGUCAGCGUCGGCCAAUCACGCUGUUGCGAAACAUCGCAUUCUGUUCGUUUCUAAAGAAACCUUGUAUUUGCGUGCCGAUAUAUUUCGCGUGAUAUCGAGCACCGUUUUCUUGGAAACUUAUUUUAUAAUUUAUAACAAAAACUGAGCGUCGCUGUGAGACCACCGGAACUAGAGGAUGAAAGAUAAGAGAAUCAAAGUUUGCAUAUGUGUGGAUAGAUUCGCAGGGAUAUACAAAGAACUCCCCAAAUUAGAACACAGGCAGAGUCGACGUCUCCUCUAGUAGUGCAGUUAGACGCAAAGCCAGUUCUUGUAAUUAAAAGUAUGCCAGUAAUUAAUUUUUAUAUGUACAUCACAAAGCGAUUCUUCCUUCGCGUGAAGAGUCUCGUUUCUCCUCUAUUUCGUAACAACGUGACCUCAUUUUUCUAAACUUCUUUCCUGUUUUUUUUUUUUUUUUUUUUCUUCUUCUAUUUGCACUUUAUCACUUGUCGUACAAAAAUACGCAAAUACGUAGUCAGCUAUUUUGCUCAAUGCUCUAAUGUAAAUAUGGAUUUGCACAAUUUUGCGCGCGCGUGAACCGAUGUUUAUUCGCGAUUGAAGAAAUUUAUUUUUUU